GUUGUUUUCGGUGUGUAUAUGUAUACUGAUGCAUAUAACCAUACAAUACAUUAGUUAUUAAUAUGCAUAAAAUACAAUACUUAUAUACUGAUAGGUGUGUAUAUGUAAACUGCAUAACUGUUUAUAUACAUUGCACUAAUAUAUAGUUUUUUACAUACAUUGAUGUGUAUGACCAUAUAUACACUAUUUAUCAGUUUAUACGGUUAUGAACGUAUAUGUACACUGAUUUAUAUGGCACACACACACACUCACACUGACACUCAUACACUCACACUAACACUCAUACUCACACUCACACCGACACUCAUACUCACACACAGUCACACACACACACUCACUCAUUCACACACACUCACACUCACUCAUUCACACUUAGACACGUAGACACUCACACCCACACUCACACUUACACUUACACUUACAUUCACUCACUCACACCCACACUCACACUUACACUUACACUUACAUUCACUCACACACACCUCACACACACACAAUCACACUAACACUCACACUCUCAGAUAUAUAUACUACACAUAUGUGCGUGUUAUAUAUUGACUGAUGUGAGUAUAUAUAUAAACUGAUGCAUUUAACCUUUGAAUAUACAUUGAUAUAUGCACUUAUUAUCAGUUUAUACAAGUAUCAACGUAUAUGUACCUUGAUUUAUAUACUACACACCACACACUCACACUUACACACACACUCACACUCACUCACACUCACACUUACAUACAUACAUACACAUUCACACUCACACUCACACCCACACUCACACUCACACUCAAAUAUAUAUACUGCACAUAUAUGCGUGUUGUGUGUGAAGUAAUGUGUGUAUUUAUAUGAUAUGUAUAAACUUAUAUGUUUAUGUCUGUAUGUAUACAGUUACUUUCUAUCUGUUGUUAUGUACAAUUAUCAAUGUAUAUACACUGCUACGGGCAUGUACAUGCACCCUUACGCUGAUGUGUAUAUAUAUACGAUAUGUAUGUACUGAUAUGUUUAUGCGUGUAUGUUAUAUUUGCUUGCUAUCAAUUGGUGUACGUAUUAAUGGAUAACAAUAUAUACCAUUGUGUUCAGUAUACUGAUGCAUAUAACCUUUCAAUACAUUAGUUAUCAACUAUAUAUACAGUUAUCAGGGUGUAUAAAAUACAUUGAUAUGUGUGUGUGUGCUUGAUUAAUGUAUAUAUAUGAUGUGCAUAUCCUUAUAUGUGUGUGUAAAGUGCAUAACUGUAUAUAUACAACGUACUAAUAUAUACAUUUCUAGUUACAUUGAUGUAUAUGACCAAAUAUACACGUAUUAUAAGUUUAUACGAUUAUUAACGUAGACGAACACUGAUAUAUAUAUAUAUAUAUGCUAUACACACACUCACAUUGAUAUAUAUACUACACACACACGGUUACACUCACACUCACACAAACUCUCACACUGACACAUUCACUCACUCACUCACACACACACACUCACACUCACGUUCACACUCGCACUCUCACACUCUCACACUCACACUCACACUCACACUCACACUCACACUCACUCACAAUCACAAUCACA
rnacentral:lncRNA from 1 species